CUUCCAGUCACUGGGUGGCCAUCUCUGCUCCAACUUUUUGGGGGAGGCCACACCCUUCAUAAUUGGCAAGACUACAUUACCAUGGUAUCCAGAAGAACAUAUUGCCAAAGUCCCUUUUUUAUCUCACUUCCAGGAAAGUGGGGCUCAGAGAGGUAAAGCCACUCACUCAGGGUCAACAGAUCAACCUGCACGUAAGAAUCUGGGUCUUUUUUUUUUUUUUUUUGAGAUGAAGUCUCACUCUGUCACCCAGGCUGAAGUGUAGUGGCACUCAGCUCCCCAAAACCUCCGCCUACCAGUUUCAAGUGAUUCUCCUGCCUCAGCCUCCCGAGUAGCCGGGAUUACAGGCUGUAGCCCGCCACCACACCUAGCUAAUUUUUUUAAUUCUUUUUUAUUUUUUUC
rnacentral:lncRNA from 1 species